CGGGUUUGAAACUGAUACUAAGGAGCAAUUCGCUUUGGAGGGACCUGCGUCCCAUCAAGCUAGUUGGUUGAGGUAAUGGCUCACCAAGGCUACGACGGGUAGGGGACCUGAGAGGGUGACCCCCCACAAUGGAACUGAACACGGUCCAUACACCUACGGGUGGCAGCAGUAGGGAAUAUUGCACAAUGGGCGAAAGCCUGAUGCAGCAACGCCGCGUGUGCGAUGAAGGCCUUCGGGUCGUAAAGCACUUUUCUGAGAGAUGAGCAAGGACAGUAUCUCAGGAAUAAGUCUCGGCUAACUACGUG
rnacentral:rRNA from 1 species